UACGGAAGGCAGCAGUGGGGAAUAUUGCACAAUGGGCGCAAGCCUGAUGCAGCCAUGCCGCGUGUAUGAAGAAGGCCUUCGGGUUGUAAAGUACUUUCAGUCGUGAGGAAGGUGUUAAGGUUAAUAACCUUAACAAUUGACGUUAGCGACAGAAGAAGCACCGGCUAACUCCGUGCCAGCAGCCGCGGUAAUACGGAGGGUGCGAGCGUUAAUCGGAAUUACUGGGCGUAAAGGGCACGCAGGCGGUUAAUUAAGUUGGAUGUGAAAUCCCCGGGCUUAACCUGGGAAUGGCAUUCAAGACUGGUUAGCUAGAGUCUUGUAGAGGGGGUAGAAUUCCAUGUGUAGCGGUGAAAUGCGUAGAGAUGUGGAGGAAUACCGGUGGCGAAGGCGGCCCCUGGACAAAGACUGACGCUCAUGUGCGAAAGCGUGGGGAGCAAACG
rnacentral:rRNA from 1 species